rnacentral:rRNA from 1 species
UGCAGUCGUACGAGAGUUUUUAACUCAAGUGGCGGACGGGUGAGUAACACGUAAGAAUUUGCCUUUAGGAGGGGGACAACAAUUGGAAACGAUUGCUAAUACCCCAUAUGCUUUCGAGUGAAAUGGAUUUUUCCGCCUAAAGAGAAGCUUGCGGCUGAUUAGCUUGUUGGUAAGGUAAGGGCUUACCAAGGCGACGAUCAGUAUCUGGUUUGAGAGGACGAUCAGACACACUGGAACUGAGACACGGUCCAGACUCCUACGGGAGGCAGCAGUGGGGAAUUUUCCGCAAUGGGCGAAAGCCUGACGGAGCAAUCUCGCGUGAGGGAUGACGGCCUAUGGGUUGUAAACCUCUUUUUUCAGGGAGGAAUAAAAUGACGUGUACCUGAAGAAUAAGCAUCGGCUAACUCCGUGCCAGCAGCCGCGGUAAGACGGAGGAUGCAAGUGUUAUCCGGAAUCACUGGGCGUAAAGCGUCUGUAGGUGGUUUAAUAAGUCAACUGUUAAAUCUUGAGGCUCAACCUCAAAAUCGCAGUCGAAACUAUUAGACUAGAGUAUAGUAGGGGUAAAGGGAAUUUCCAGUGGAGCGGUGAAAUGCGUAGAGAUUGGAAAGA